GCCAGGUGCAGUGGUGCAUGCCUAUAGUCCCAGCUACUCAGGAGGCUGAGGUGGGAGGAUCGCUUGAGCCCAGGAGUUCUGGGCUGUAGUGCGCUAUGUUCAAAAUCAGUAUGGUGACCUCCUGGGAGCAGGGAACCACCAGGUUGCCUAAGGAGGGGUGAACUGGCUCAGGUCGGAAACGGAGCAGGUCAAAACCCCCAUACUGAUCAGUAGUGGGACCGUGCCUGUGAAUAGCCACUGCACUCCAGCCUGGGCAACAUAGUGANNNNNNNNNNNN
rnacentral:SRP_RNA from 1 species